GACGAACGCUGGCGGCGGGCUUAACACAUGCAAGUCGAACGGCAAGGCCCUGCUUGUGUGCGCUUCUCGAGUGGCGAACGGGUGAGUAACACGUGAGUAACCUACCCUUGACUUUGGGAUAACUUCAGGAAACUGGGGCUAAGACCGGAUAGGAGCUCCUGCUGCAGUGUGGGGGUUGGAAAGUUUCGGCGGUUGGGAAUGGACUCGCGGCUUAUCAGCUUGUUGGUGGGGUAGUGGCUUACCAAGGCUUUGACGGGUAGCCAGCCUGGGAGGGUGACCGGGCACAUAGGCACUGGGGUACGGCCCAGACGGCUACGGGAGGCAGGAGCGGGGAACAGUGCACAACGGGCGGAGGCCGGAUGGAGCAACGCCGCGUGCGAGAUGACGGCCGUCGGGUUGGAAAACGAUUUCGCUUGUGACGAAGCGUGAGUAACGGUAAUGAGUAAAGAAGAACCGGCUAACUACGU
rnacentral:rRNA from 1 species